GCAGUCAGGGGCAGCACAGGUAGCAAUACUUGGUGGCGACCGGCGCANNNNUGCGUAACGCGUGAGCAACAUGCCCGUAUCAGGGGGAUAAUCCAGGGAAACUUGGUCUAAUACCCCAUAGUAAGUUUUUGAGGCAUCUCAAGGAUUUUAAAGCUUUGGUGGAUACGGAUUGGCUCGCGUGACAUUAGCUAGAUGGUAAGGUAACGGCUUACCAUGGCUACGAUGUCUAGGGGUUCUGAGAGGAAGGUCCCCCACACUGGAACUGAGACACGGUCCAGACUCCUACGGGAGGCAGCAGUGAGGAAUAUUGGACAAUGGAUGGAAAUCUGAUCCAGCCAUGCCGCGCGCAGGAAGACGGCCCUAUGGGUUGUAAACUGCUUUUGUAUGGGAGCAAUAAGAUCUACGUGUAGAUUGAUGAGAGUACCAUACGAAUAAGCACCGGCUAACUCCGUGCCAGCAGCCGCGGUAAUACGGAGGGUGCAAGCGUUAUCCGGAUUUAUUGGGUUUAAAGGGUGCGUAGGCGGUUUGAUAAGUCAGCGGUGAAAUAUUUCAGCUUAACUGGAAGGGUGCCGUUGAUACUGUCAGGCUUGAAUUUAGUUGCUGUGGGUGGAAUGUGUGGUGUAGCGGUGAAAUGCAUAGAUAUCACACAGAAUAUCGAUUGCGAAGGCAGCUCACAAAGCUAAUAUUGACGCUGAUGCACGAAAGUGUGGGGAUCAAACAGGAUUAGAUACCCUGGUAGUNNA
rnacentral:rRNA from 1 species